rnacentral:rRNA from 1 species
UGCGUAGGCGGGCUAAUAAGUCAGUGGUGAAAUCUCUCGGCUCAACCGGGAAACUGCCAUUGAUACUGUUAGUCUUGAGUACGGUUGAGGUAGGCGGAAUGUGUAAUGUAGCGGUGAAAUGCUUAGAUAUUACACAGAACACCAAUUGCGUAGGCAGCUUACUAGACCGACACUGACGCUGAGGCACGAAAGCGUGGGGAGCGAACAGGAUUAGAUACCCUGGUAGUCC